UGUUUGCGAGUGCGGGAGUUUCAAGACGCGCGCGAAGCUGCGGACAGUCUGAUUGGAAGUGGAGCGAACUGGAAGGCAAACAAGACGACGCGUGUCGAGUGUUUGCAAUAGAAACAAAUUGUUUUCAAAUACGAACAGUGCUCUGCUGUGCUAUUUGUUUUGUGAAAUACAAUUGAUCGCGGUCACCACAUCAGCGUCACCUCUUUUGCAUGCCCGACAUCUCCGCGGAUGCGAAUUUCGGCUGGCGCGAUUUGAGCAACAGGUGGCGGACGACUGAUGGGCGGAUGAACGGGUGGAUAAACGGAUAAAUGGAUAAAUGGACAAAUGGAUCGUGUCGAUGGGCGGCGGGAUUUGGCGAAAUUUGGUGCUGAUAGACUGGCAUAGGCCCGGCAUUAUUAUUGGUGGCCAAAAGGGGUCAGGCGGUGUGCGCGUAAAGAAAUUGAAUUGACUUUGGUGGCCAGCAGCAACAGCACCAGCACCGGCGGCGGUCCGAAAUCGAAAUCUGUGUCGCAAAUGUGGCACUAAUAAAUUAUCGCACAUUCGCGCGCCGCACCGCGAGUGCUUCAUUAAUGCGGGAAUCGCGAAUGACGGAGAAUAUCUAGUUUUGCAGCGGCACUGCGUUUGUUUCAUUUUGCCAGGAACGUGACCAAAAUUACCAAGUGCCGCGUGGAUUCACUCGAUCUACCGAGCCAUAGGUCUGCAUAGACCAAACAAUUAGAUUUGGUAGCCACGCUUCGCGGAGCUGGGCGCAAACAAAAAAGAACGCCAACUCCGUGGCCUAUAAAUAUCGGUCUUCGGAAUUACUAAAUCCAAUUGCAGUCCAAUUAGCAGGCGAGCGCCAAUGAAGCGGCUGUGAAAUAGAAAUAAACAGGAAACGACUGACGGCAAAGGGAACUGGCCAAGACGAGGACGCAAUUAACCAGAACGGAACAAAACAAGGAAGAAGGGGAUUCGAAGAAGGAGGGAGCAAUGCAAACUCAACAAAAAUGUUGCAUCUCCUCGAAGGAUCAACAUCUGUCGCCAAGGACACUGUCACACAAAGGAGACCCCUCGUCAGUUGCAUGAAAUAAUUUCGUUUAAAUUAAGCGCCCUCCUCACAAAAAAGGAGCAGCAUUUCACGCCAUUCCCGUCCCCGCGUAAUGUGUGCUCACCCCUGUCCUGCUCCAGCUGGAAUCUACCACUCAGGACUGCUGCAUCCACUGCUCCUGCUACUCCUCUUCCUGCUCGCUUUUAGCAACUUCCGGCCGACUCAUGGAGAGGUCUUCACGCUGGGUUACCUCACGGCCUCGCAACGGCGACCGGGAAACCUGGACUACAACCGACCCGGUCUCACCAUCUCCGGCGCCAUCUCGCUGGCGGUGGAGGAGGUGAAUGCCGGACGUCUCCGGGAUCGGGGUCAUUCCCUUCAGUUCGUCGUGGCCGAAACUUACGGCGAGGAGGUGGUCAGCAUCCGUCAAACGGCGGCACUGUGGACGCAGCAUGUGGCCGCCUACAUCGGCCCCCAGGAAACAUGCGUACACGAAGGUCGCAUGGCGGCCGCCUUUAACCUGCCCAUGAUAUCUUAUUACUGCACCCAUCGGGAUCCCUCGAACAAGGCUGAUUUUCCCACCUUUGCCAGGACACGCCCACCGGACACCCAGAUCUCCAAGUCCGUAGUGGCCCUUCUGCUGGCCUUUAAUUGGACGCAGGUGAGCUUCCUCUACUUGGACGACGCCAGUGGUCAGUAUCAGCCCGUGGCGGAGACCAUCCUGAGCACACUGACUGAUGCCGGAGUCACUAUCCGGGAUAUUCGCACUUGGAAUACCAUCUACCAUCACGGGUUUAUGGACAAUCCUUUCGAGGCGCUGGUGGAGCAGACCUAUGCCAAUACAAGGAUCUACCUCAUUUUGGGUCACUACUAUGAGCAUGUCGGGCUGAUGGUUAGUCUCCAGAGAAGAGGAAUUCUGUCGAAGGGCGACUACUUCGUAGUGGGCAUAGACAUCGAACAGUAUGAUCCAGCCAAGCCUGAAAAGUAUUUGCGAGGACUCCUGCUGGAGGAUGUGGAGCCAUUGGCCGUGCAGGCCUUUCAGUCCUAUCUGGGCAUUGUGCCCACGGCUUCCGUCUCCUUCGCCACUUUUGCCAAUGAGGUCAACAAAUACAUGGAGCGACCGCCAUUCAAUUUCCCCAAUCCGCUGGGUCCCUUCGGCGGCGUAAAGCAGAUAAGCGCCGAGGCUGCCUAUCUCUACGAUGCCGUGCAUCUCUACGCGAAGGCCUUGAUGGAAGUCCUGGACUCGGGCGGAAGACCCAGGAACGGCAGCGCCAUUGUGGCGGCCAUCAAGGGUUCGCGAUAUCGCAGCGCCAUGGGCUAUCACGUCUAUAUCGAUGAGAACGGCGAUGCAGCUGGAAAUUAUACAGUAUUAGCGAGGGGAUCCGUGCGGAAUGGUCGCAAUCAGACUGUGCUGGGUCUGCGACCCGUGGGCACCUUUAUCCACCGGAACAGCAGCUUCAGCAGCAUCAGCAAGGCGUUGCCCGAUCUCAAACUGUUCAGCCCCAUCGACUGGGUGGGUGGCACGCGACCAGCAGCUGCUCCACGUUGCGGAUUUGGUGGCGAGAAGUGCGUCAAUUAUACUGGCGAAAUUUCAGCGGCCAUUGCGGGCGGUGCCCUUUUGCUGCUCAGCUUGGUCUCGCUGGUCCUCUAUCGUAACUGGCGAUACGAGCAGGAACUGGACAGUCUGCUCUGGAAGAUAGACUUCCGCGAGGUGCAGAUCCAUGAGAACGAACGCGAACAGCAAAGUCAGAAGCAGACGCGCCACUUGCUAAAUCACUUGCCGCGUCGUCUUCCUCCGCAGUCCACCCAUCCGCUGAUCCGCACCAGCCAAGUGAGCCUGAGCUCCAAUCCGGACGCCGACUUCCGCUACACGACAAUCUUUACGCCCAUCGGACUGUACAAAGGUCAGCUUUAUGCUAUCAAGAAGGUGCGAAAGAAGAGCGUGGACAUCACCCGCGAAAUGAAGAAGGAGCUCAAGCUGCUGCGGGAUGCCCGUCACGAUAAUAUUUGCGCCUUCAUAGGCGCCUGCACGGAUCCGCCAAACAUCUGCAUCAUCAGCGAGUACUGCACCCGAGGCAGCCUUAAGGACAUUCUGGAGAACGAGGACGUCAAGCUGGACAACAUGUUCAUUGCCUCCAUGGUGGCAGACAUUAUACGCGGCGUCAUCUAUUUGCACGACUCGCCCAUUCGUUUCCAUGGCGCUCUGUGCACUUCCAACUGCCUGGUGGACUCCCGAUGGGUGGUCAAGCUAACGGACUUUGGCCUCUUUGCCUUCAAACAGGGGAUCGAAGACAGCACCACGGAUAUGCAGCAUAUGUCGGCCAAGUGUCUGAAGCUUCUUUAUCGAGCUCCUGAGCUGCUGCGACAGGGUCCAUCCUCGCUGGUCAUGGGCACACAACGCGGGGAUGCCUAUUCCUUUGGCAUCCUCCUGUACGAGAUGCACGUCCGUAGAGGACCCUUUGGCGAGACGGGUCUGACGCCCAUGCAGUGCCUGCAGAAGGUGCUUCAGCCCCAGGAUUACCUAAAUCCAUACAGACCCUCCUUGCAACCACUGGAAACCGCGUUCGACUGCGUCAGCGAGUGCCUGAGGGAAUGCUGGGCGGAGAGGCCGGAGGAUCGACCAGAUUUCAAAACCAUCCGCACCAAACUAAGACCUCUGCGGAAGGGAAUGAGGCCCAACAUUUUCGACAACAUGAUGGCCAUGAUGGAGAAGUACGCCAACAAUUUGGAGGCUCUAGUAGACGAUCGCACGGAUCAACUGCAGGAGGAAAAAAAGAAGACCGACGCACUGCUGCACGAGAUGCUGCCGCGCUGCGUGGCUGACCAGCUGAAGAAGGGUCACAAGGUGGACCCCGAACACUACGAGCAGGUCAGCAUCUACUUCAGCGACAUCGUGGGCUUCACAGCGAUGUCCGCCGAGUGCACCCCUUUGCAGGUGGUAGAUUUCCUCAACGAUCUGUACACCUGCUUCGACUCAAUUAUUGGGCACUAUGAUGUUUAUAAAGUUGAAACUAUCGGAGAUGCUUACAUGGUGGUCUCUGGACUACCGCUGCGCAAUGGUGACUUGCAUGCAGCGGAAAUAGCCACCAUGUCGUUGCACCUACUCAGUGCCGUAUCAGAGUUUAAGAUCCGUCACCGGCCCACAAACCGCCUGCUCCUGCGGAUUGGCAUACACUCGGGUCCCGUUUGUGCGGGUGUUGUUGGUCUGAAGAUGCCACGUUACUGUCUCUUCGGAGAUACUGUCAAUACCGCUUCCCGCAUGGAGUCCAGUGGUGUUCCGCUGAAGAUCCAUUGCAGCUGGCAGUGCCGCCAAUUGCUAGAGAGGCUGGGUGGCUAUCACUUCGCGGAGCGUGGCGUCAUCUCCAUGAAGGGAAAAGGUGAUCAGCGCACCUACUGGCUGCUGGGAGAAGAUGAGGAGGCACGCACUCGUCGAACCUAUGAGAGAUCUCAGAGACGCGGAUCCAGGGCACUCAACAAGUUCAUCCAGGGCACCAUAAAGCAGGCCCAGGAACAGGCCAACGAGUACGGCAUACGCUCCUCCCUUAAACAGAAGAAUCUGCCCAGAAACUCGCUGACCCGCUCUUCCAGUCUGGAGUCGCCCAAGAAGCUGCGGUUCGCUGCUGGUAGCCUCCUGGAGCAUCAUCGCUAUCACAGUGACGAGGCGCUGCUGGAGGUGGACUCCUACACGGGCUUGCGCCGUUCCUCGGGAGGAUCCACACAGUCGCGCUAUGAGGAGACGACCCUGUCGCUGACUCUGUCCUGCCAAAGUAUAGAGAUCGUAGGUGGGCAACAUGGUAAAAGGAGACCCUCUUCAUAUCCCACUGCCAACACGCCGCUGCUGAUGAACCACGUGGAGGUUUAGGGCAGUGUCCUAGUACUUAUUUAACCCAGAUACAGGGAACUUAGUGGAAUUUGUGUUCAGCUGCACUCGAAGGCGAG
rnacentral:misc_RNA from 1 species